rnacentral:rRNA from 1 species
UAGGGAAUCUUCCGCAAUGGACGCAAGUCUGACGGAGCAACGCCGCGUGAGUGAAGAAGGAUUUCGGUUCGUAAAACUCUGUUGUUAGAGAAGAACAGCGCAUAGAGUAACUGUUAUGCGUGUGACGGUAUCUAACCAGAAAGCCACGGCUAACUACGUGCCAGCAGCCGCGGUAAUACGUAGGUGGCAAGCGUUGUCCGGAUUUAUUGGGCGUAAAGCGAGCGCAGGCGGUCAAUUAAGUCUGAUGUGAAAGCCCCCGGCUCAACCGGGGAGGGUCAUUGGAAACUGGUUGACUUGAGUGCAGAAGAGGAGAGUGGAAUUCCAUGUGGAGCGGUAAAAUGCGUAGAUAUAUGGAGGAACACCAGUGGCGAAGGCGACUCUCUGGUCUGUAACUGACGCUGAGGCUCGAAAGCGUGGGUAGCAAACAGG